rnacentral:miRNA from 1 species
AUCUACUAUCUAGUUAUUA